rnacentral:misc_RNA from 1 species
GAUGAAGAACGUAGCGAAAUGCGAUAAGUAAUGUGAAUUGCAGAAUUCAGUGAAUCAUCGAAUCUUUGAACGCACAUUGCGCCCUCUGGUAUUACGGGGGGCAUGCCUGUUCGAGCGUCAUUAUAACCACUCAAGCUCUCGCUUGGUAUUGGGGUUCGCGGUUUCGCGGCCCCUAAAAUCAGUGGCGGUGCCUGUCGGCUCUACGCGUAGUAAUACUUCUCGCGAUUGAGUUCGAUAGGUCUACUUGCCAGUAACCCCCAAUUUUUACAGGUUGACCUCGGAUCAGGUAGGGAUACCCGCUGAACUUAAGCAUAUCAAUAAGCGGAGGA